UGAAAAUUGGCAUAGUCCUAAUAAACUAUCAGUGUCGUUCUAGAUUUACACUACCAGCUGAAUAUUGUGUUGAUUCAUAAACUUCUCUGUGCUUACCCAGUUUGAUUUGUUCCAGGUACUUAUGUUGCACUAGGACUCUGCAGCCUGGACCAUUCUGCAAUACCAAUCUCAACACCUAUGUUUUAGACGGUGUUGUGAAGAACAGUUCGGCAGCUAUCCAAGGUUGACAAUUCUUCUCUCACUUUUCUCAGCAAAAGCAGAGGCAGGCGUGACUGGAUCUAAGAGUUAAGAGUGCCACCAUCAGGACGACUGGUGAAAUGGAAGCAAUUUUUGUGCAGGCAUGUAUGUGCAGAAGUCACCAAAAAAAAAAAAAAAAAAAAAAAAAAAAGAUUCCUAGACAAGAAAACGAAGGGGAAAAAGUCUAA
rnacentral:lncRNA from 1 species